UAGGGAAUCUUCCGCAAUGGGCGAAAGCCUGACGGAGCAACGCCGCGUGAGUGAUGAAGGUCUUCGGAUCGUAAAACUCUGUUAUUAGGGAAGAACAAAUGUGUAAGUAACUAUGCACGUCUUGACGGUACCUAAUCAGAAAGCCACGGCUAACUACGUGCCAGCAGCCGCGGUAAUACGUAGGUGGCAAGCGUUAUCCGGAAUUAUUGGGCGUAAAGCGCGCGUAGGCGGUUUUUUAAGUCUGAUGUGAAAGCCCACGGCUCAACCGUGUAGGGUCAUUGGAAACUGGAAAACUUGAGUGCAGAAGAGGAAAGUGGAAUUCCAUGUGUAGCGGUGAAAUGCGCAGAGCUAUGGAGGAACACCAGUGGCGAAGGCGACUUUCUGGUCUGUAACUGACGCUGAUGUGCGAAAGCGUGGGGAUCAAACAGG
rnacentral:rRNA from 1 species